CGAACGGGUGAGUAAUGCAUAGGAAUCUGCCCAUUAGUGGGGGACAACUCGGGGAAACUCGAGCUAAUACCGCAUACGCCCUACGGGGGAAAGCGGAGGACCUUUCGGGGCUUCGCGCUAAUGGAUGAGCCUAAGUCGGAUUAGCUUGUUGGUGAGGUAAAGGCUCACCAAGGCGACGAUCCGUAGCUGGUCUGAGAGGACGAUCAGCCACACUGGGACUGAGACACGGCCCAG
rnacentral:rRNA from 1 species